GGAGAAAUGGCCGAGCGGCUGAAGGCACUUUCCUGCUAAGAAAGUAUACGGGUAACUGUAUCGAGGGUUCGAAUCCCUCUUUCUCCUCCA
rnacentral:tRNA from 1 species